GUGGUCGCAGGUACACUCCCAACCCAGUGUGAACGUUACCAAACUGUUGCCUCGGCGGGAUCUCUGCCCCGGGUGCGUCGCAGCCCCGGACCAAGGCGCCCGCCGGAGGACCAACCAAAACUCUUUUUGUAUACCCCCUCGCGGGUUUUUUUUAUAAUCUGAGCCUUCUCGGCGCCUCUCGUAGGCGUUUCGAAAAUGAAUCAAAACUUUCAACAACGGAUCUCUUGGUUCUGGCAUCGAUGAAGAACGCAGCGAAAUGCGAUAAGUAAUGUGAAUUGCAGAAUUCAGUGAAUCAUCGAAUCUUUGAACGCACAUUGCGCCCGCCAGUAUUCUGGCGGGCAUGCCUGUCCGAGCGUCAUUUCAACCCUCGAACCCCUCCGGGGGGUCGGCGUUGGGGAUCGGCCCUGCCUCUUGGCGGUGGCCGUCUCCGAAAUACAGUGGCGGUCUCGCCGCAGCCUCUCCUGCGCAGUAGUUUGCACACUCGCAUCGGGAGCGCGGCGCGUCCACAGCCGUUAAACACCCAACUUCUGAAAUGUUGACCUCGGAUCAGGUAGGAAUACCCGCUGAACUUAAGCAUAUCAUAACUCCGGAGAGAA
rnacentral:rRNA from 1 species